AGAGUUUGAUUAUGGCUCAGAUUGAACGCUGGCGGCAGGCCUAACACAUGCAAGUCGAGCGGUAGAGAGAAGCUUGCUUCUCUUGAGAGCGGCGGACGGGUGAGUAAUGCCUAGGAAUCUGCCUGGUAGUGGGGGAUAACGUUCGGAAACGGACGCUAAUACCGCAUACGUCCUACGGGAGAAAGCAGGGGACCUUCGGGCCUUGCGCUAUCAGAUGAGCCUAGGUCGGAUUAGCUAGUUGGUGAGGUAAUGGCUCACCAAGGCGACGAUCCGUAACUGGUCUGAGAGGAUGAUCAGUCACACUGGAACUGAGACACGGUCCAGACUCCUACGGGAGGCAGCAGUGGGGAAUAUUGGACAAUGGGCGAAAGCCUGAUCCAGCCAUGCCGCGUGUGUGAAGAAGGUCUUCGGAUUGUAAAGCACUUUAAGUUGGGAGGAAGGGCAGUUACCUAAUACGUGAUUGUUUUGACGUUACCGACAGAAUAAGCACCGGCUAACUCUGUGCCAGCAGCCGCGGUAAUACAGAGGGUGCAAGCGUUAAUCGGAAUUACUGGGCGUAAAGCGCGCGUAGGUGGUUAGUUAAGUUGGAUGUGAAAUCCCCGGGCUCAACCUGGGAACUGCAUUCAAAACUGACUGACUAGAGUAUGGUAGAGGGUGGUGGAAUUUCCUGUGUAGCGGUGAAAUGCGUAGAUAUAGGAAGGAACACCAGUGGCGAAGGCGACCACCUGGACUGAUACUGACACUGAGGUGCGAAAGCGUGGGGAGCAAACAGGAUUAGAUACCCUGGUAGUCCACGCCGUAAACGAUGUCAACUAGCCGUUGGGAGCCUUGAGCUCUUAGUGGCGCAGCUAACGCAUUAAGUUGACCGCCUGGGGAGUACGGCCGCAAGGUUAAAACUCAAA
rnacentral:rRNA from 1 species